AGUGAUAUGGCCGACUCAGGCGGAGGAUUGUAAAUCCUCUUAUAAUAGCCUAUCUAUUUAUCAUUA
rnacentral:tRNA from 1 species